rnacentral:rRNA from 1 species
UACGUAGGGAGCAAGCGUUGUCCGGAAUCAUUGGGCGUAAAGCGCGUGUAGGCGGCCCGGAAAGUCUGGUGUGAAAACUUGAGGCUCAACCUCAAGCUGUCGCUGGAUACUGUCGGGCUUGAGUCCGGAAGAGGAGUGUGGAAUUCCUGGUGUAGCGGUGGAAUGCGCAGAUAUCAGGAAGAACACCAAUGGCGAAGGCAGCUCUCUGGGACGGUACUGACGCUGAGACGCGAAAGCGUGGGGAGCGAACAGG